AAGUAAAAGUCGUAACAAGGUCUCCGUUGGUGAACCAGCGGAGGGAUCAUUACCGAGUUUACAACUCCCAAACCCCUGUGAACAUACCUAUACGUUGCCUCGGCGGAUCAGCCCGCGCCCCGUAAAACGGGACGGCCCGCCCGAGGACCCUAAACUCUGUUUUUAGUGGAACUUCUGAGUAAAACAAACAAAUAAAUCAAAACUUUCAACAACGGAUCUCUUGGUUCUGGCAUCGAUGAAGAACGCAGCAAAAUGCGAUAAGUAAUGUGAAUUGCAGAAUUCAGUGAAUCAUCGAAUCUUUGAACGCACAUUGCGCCCGCCAGUAUUCUGGCGGGCAUGCCUGUUCGAGCGUCAUUUCAACCCUCAAGCUCAGCUUGGUGUUGGGACUCGCGGUAACCCGCGUUCCCCAAAUCGAUUGGCGGUCACGUCGAGCUUCCAUAGCGUAGUAAUCAUACACCUCGUUACUGGUAAUCGUCGCGGCCACGCCGUAAAACCCCAACUUCUGAAUGUUGACCUCGGAUCAGGUAGGAAUACCCGCUGAACUUAAGCAUAUCAAU
rnacentral:rRNA from 1 species